rnacentral:rRNA from 1 species
UACGUAGGGUGCAGGCGUUAAUCGGAAUUACUGGGCGUAAAGCGUGCGCAGGCGGUUUGCUAAGACAGGUGUGAAAUCCCCGGGCUUAACCUGGGAACUGCGCUUGUAACUGGCAAGCUAGAGUGUGGCAGAGGGGGGUGGAAUUCCACGUGUAGCAGUGAAAUGCGUAGAGAUGUGGAGGAACACCGACGGCGAAGGCAGCCCCCUGGGCUAACACUGACGCUCAUGCACGAAAGCGUGGGGAGCAAACAGG